rnacentral:rRNA from 2 species
UUAACAGAACCCUUCGGGGCGAAGAUAAAGUGGAUUAGCGGCGGACGGGUGAGUAACACGUGAGUAACCUGCCUUAGACAUUGGGAUAGCCUCGGGAAACCGGGAUUAAUACCAAAUAAAAUCAUAAUGACACAUGUCAUAACGAUCAAAACUCCGGUGGUCUAAGAUGGACUCGCGUCCCAUUAGCUAGUUGGUAGAGUAAAAGCCUACCAAGGCGACGAUGGGUAGCCGGCCUGAGAGGGUGAACGGCCACAUUGGAACUGAGAAACGGUCCAAACUCCUACGGGAGGCAGCAGUGGGGAAUAUUGCACAAUGGAGGGAACUCUGAUGCAGCGACGCCGCGUGAACGAAGAAGGCUUUCGAGUCGUAAAGUUCUUUUAUAUGGGAAGAUAAUGACGGUACCAUAAGAAAAAGCCCCGGCUAACUACGUGCCAGCAGCCGCGGUAAUACGUAGGGGGCUAGCGUUGUCCGGAAUCACUGGGUGUAAAGGGUUCGCAGGCGGAAAUGCAAGUCAGAUGUAAAAGGCAGUAGCUUAACUACUGUAAGCAUUUGAAACUGCAUAUCUUGAGAAGAGUAGAGGUAAGUGGAAUUUUUAGUGUAGCGGUGAAAUGCGUAGAUAUUAAAAAGAAUACCGGUGGCGAAGGCGACUUACUGGGCUCAUUCU